GACGAACGCUGGCGGCGUGCUUAACACAUGCAAGUCGAACGCUGAAGCUCAGCUUUUGUUGGGUGGAUGAGUGGCGAACGGGUGGGUAACACGUGAGUAACCUGCCCCCUUCUUUGGGAUAACGCCCGGAAACGGGUACUAAUACUGGAUAUUCACUGGUCUUCGCAUGGGGGUUGGUGGAAAGGGUUUUUCUGGUGGGGGAUGGGCUCGCGGCCUAUCAGCUUGUUGGUGGGGUGAUGGCCUACCAAGGCUUUGACGGGUAGCCGGCCUGAGAGGGUGACCGGUCACAUUGGGACUGAGAUACGGCCCAGACUCCUACGGGAGGCAGCAGUGGGGAAUAAUGCACAAUGGGCGAAAGCCUGAUGCAGCGACGCCGCGUGAGGGAUGGAGGCCUUCGGGUUGUGAACCUCUUUCGCUCAUGGUCAAGCCGCAACAAUGGUUGUGGUGAGGGUAGUGGGUAAAGAAGCGCCGGCUAACUACGUG
rnacentral:rRNA from 1 species